rnacentral:piRNA from 2 species
UGGUAUGUACUUCCAAUGUGGUCUACC